rnacentral:rRNA from 1 species
UACGGAGGGUGCGAGCGUUGUCCGGAAUCAUUGGGCGUAAAGGGCGCGUAGGUGGCUUCUUAAGCGUGCGGUGAAAGCCUGGGGCUCAACCCCGGGUCGGCCGUGCGAACUGGGGGGCUGGAGCACUGUAGAGGCAGGCGGAAUUCCGGGUGUAGCGGUGGAAUGCGUAGAUAUCCGGAAGAACACCGGUGGCGAAGGCGGCCUGCUGGGCAUUUGCUGACACUGAGGCGCGACAGCGUGGGGAGCAAACAGG